rnacentral:rRNA from 1 species
AGCUACAGGCUUAACACAUGCAAGUCGAGGGGCAGCAUGGUCUUAGCUUGCUAAGGCCGAUGGCGACCGGCGCACGGGUGAGUAACACGUAUCCAACCUGCCGUCUACUCUUGGACAGCCUUCUGAAAGGAAGAUUAAUACAAGAUGGCAUCAUGAGUCCGCAUGUUCACAUGAUUAAAGGUAUUCCGGUAGACGAUGGGGAUGCGUUCCAUUAGAUAGUAGGCGGGGUAACGGCCCACCUAGUCUUCGAUGGAUAGGGGUUCUGAGAGGAAGGUCCCCCACAUUGGAACUGAGACACGGUCCAAACUCCUACGGGAGGCAGCAGUGAGGAAUAUUGGUCAAUGGGCGAGAGCCUGAACCAGCCAAGUAGCGUGAAGGAUGACUGCCCUAUGGGUUGUGAACUUCUUUUAUAAAGGAAUAAAGUCGGGUAUGGAUACCCGUUUGCAUGUACUUUAUGAAUAAGGAUCGGCUAACUCCGUGCCAGCAGCCGCGGUAAUACGGAGGAUCCGAGCGUUAUCCGGAUUUAUUGGGUUUAAAGGGAGCGUAGAUGGAUGUUUAAGUCAGUUGUGAAAGUUUGCGGCUCAACCGUAAAAUUGCAGUUGAUACUGGAUAUCUUGAGUGCAGUUGAGGCAGGCGGAAUUCGUGGUGUAGCGGUGAAAUGCUUAGAUAUCACGAAGAACUCCGAUUGCGAAGGCAGCCUGCUAAGCUGCAACUGACAUUGAGGCUCGAAAGUGUGGGUAUCAAACAGGAUUAGAUACCCUGGUAGUCCACACGGUAAACGAUGAAUACUCGCUGUUUGCGAUAUACAGCAAGCGGCCAAGCGAAAGCGUUAAGUAUUCCACCUGGGGAGUACGCCGGCAACGGUGAAACUCAAAGGAAUUGACGGGGGCCCGCACAAGCGGAGGAACAUGUGGUUUAAUUCGAUGAUACGCGAGGAACCUUACCCGGGCUUAAAUUGCAGAUGAAUUACGGUGAAAGCCGUAAGCCGCAAGGCAUCUGUGAAGGUGCUGCAUGGUUGUCGUCAGCUCGUGCCGUGAGGUGUCGGCUUAAGUGCCAUAACGAGCGCAACCCUUGUUGUCAGUUACUAACAGGUUCCGCUGAGGACUCUGACAAGACUGCCAUCGUAAGAUGUGAGGAAGGUGGGGAUGACGUCAAAUCAGCACGGCCCUUACGUCCGGGGCUACACACGUGUUACAAUGGGGGGUACAGAGGGCCGCUACCACGCGAGUGGAUGCCAAUCCCCAAAACCUCUCUCAGUUCGGACUGGAGUCUGCAACCCGACUCCACGAAGCUGGGUUCGCUAGUAAUCGCGCAUCAGCCACGGCGCGGUGAAUACGUUCCCGGGCCUUGUACACACCGCCCGUCAAGCCAUGGGAGCCGGGGGUACCUGAAGUGCGUAACCGCGAGGAGCGCCCUAGGGUAAAACUGGUGACUGGGG